GACGUAGGGUGCGAGCGUUGUCCGGAUUUAUUGGGCGUAAAGAGCUCGUAGGCGGCUCGUCGCGUCGACCGUGAAAACUCACAGCUUAACUGUGGGCGUGCGGGCGAUACGGGCAGACUGGAGUACUGUAGGGGAGACUGGAAUUCCUGGUGUAGCGGUGAAAUGCGCAGAUAUCAGGAGGAACACCGAUGGCGAAGGCAGCCCCCUGGGUCAAAACUGACGCUCAUGCACGAAAGCGUGGGGAGCAAACAGG
rnacentral:rRNA from 1 species